GGAACCAUUGAGUGGAACCAAAUGCUAUGAAAGCCCUUCGGAACCUAACACGGCUUAACACUGGCAGUGUUGAGGUCGUCGGUUCGAUCCCGUCUGGCUCCACCA
rnacentral:tRNA from 1 species